GGGAUGUUGCGUCAGAGUAUUCUACCACGUUGAUGGGUCCUUGUUGGUAUCUGUAUAUGAGUCUGGUGUCUAUUACUCUGUAUGGUCGUCUUUAAGGUGGGCGGGUUCCUCCUGCUGCAUACUGGAUAAUGUUGCAUUAUGUUAGUGCCUUUGUCUUCUUCAGUAGCUCAAUGAUCUCGUAGAUGUUUGGGUGGGCGUGUUUGAGUCGCUUCUUAUGUUUGUUGUGCCAUCCUUCCAGGUGAUUUGUGCAUGGUGCAGGGUCCUUCUGUGUAAUAGUGGUUCUAUAGAAAGCGGUAGUUUUCAACCCAAAACCCUGUCACGUAAUCUGUAAAUCAAGUUGUAGCGGGUAUGUUUUCAGUUUCUCCAAUGUCUUCUAAAGUGUUUAGCUAAACAUCGUCAACAAGGUGGGUGGAACAAGAGGUACCAGUAGUACUGCAGCUCGUCGUAUCAGUUAAGUAAUGUCUUCAUUUUCUUUAUAAUAGGACUGUAGUCCAUAUUUCUGUGCCUUUCGCCAUAUACACUGGGUGAAGUGGAAGAAGCAGCCUUUCACGGUUACCCCUGGACAUACUGUCUGUGUUGCGUUGUUGGUUGCUGUCUCGUAGUCAAUAGAUAGUGUUUCUGGUUGAAGUUGUAACUGGUGUUGUUGAUCAAUGGCUACUGAACAGUUGCAUUUAUAUUCUAGUUGUUAAAUUUAAUUGGAUAAUUUUAUAUUUUACAAAAUUUUGAAACAGC
rnacentral:lncRNA from 1 species